UACAGAGGUCCCAAGCGUUGUUCGGAUUCAUUGGGCGUAAAGGGUGUGUAGGUGGCGCCGUAAGUCGGGUGUGAAAUUUCGGAGCUUAACUCCGAAACUGCAUUCGAUACUGCGGUGCUUGAGGACUGGAGAGGAGACUGGAAUUCAUGGUGUAGCAGUGAAAUGCGUAGAUAUCGAGAGGAACACCUGCGGCGAAGGCGGGUUGCUGGGCUGACACUGACGCUGAAGCGCGAAAGCUAGGGGAGCGAACGGG
rnacentral:rRNA from 1 species